rnacentral:rRNA from 1 species
AGGACGAACGCUGGCGGCGUGCUUAACACAUGCAAGUCGAGCGGAAAGGCCCUUCGGGGUACUCGAGCGGCGAACGGGUGAGUAACACGUGAGCAACCUGCCCUUAGCUUCGGGAUAGCUCCGGGAAACCGGAAUUAAUACCGGAUACGACCACGGCCGACAUCUGCUGUGGUGGAAAGGAUUCCGGCUAAGGAUGGGCUCGCGGCCUAUCAGCUAGUUGGUGGAGUAACGGCCCACCAAGGCGACGACGGGUA